AGUAGGAUAGCUGGGUCAAAUGGCAGUUCCAUUCCUAGUUUUCUGAGGAAUCUCCAUACUGCUUUUCAUAAUAAUUGUACCAAUUUGCAGUCCCAAGAGCAAU
rnacentral:pre_miRNA from 1 species